rnacentral:rRNA from 1 species
UCCUACGGGAGGCAGCAGUGGGGAAUAUUGCACAAUGGGCGCAAGCCUGAUGCAGCGACGCCGCGUGAGGGAUGACGGCCUUCGGGUUGUAAACCUCUUUCAGUAGGGAACAAGGCUGCACGUUGUGUGGUUGAGGGUACUUGCAGAAGAAGCGUCGGCUAACUACGUGCCAGCAGCCGCGGUAAUACGUAGGGCGCAAGCGUUAUCCGGAAUUAUUGGGCGUAAAGAGCUCGUAGGCGGUUUGUCGCGUCUGCCGUGAAAGUCCGGGGCUCAACCCCGGAUCUGCGGUGGGUACGGGCAGACUAGAGUGAUGUAGGGGAGGCUGGAAUUCCUGGUGUAGCGGUGAAAUGCGCAGAUAUCAGGAGGAACACCGAUGGCGAAGGCAGGUCUCUGGGCAUUAACUGACGCUGAGGAGCGAAAGCAUGGGGAGCGAACAGGAUUAGAUACCCUGGUAGUCCAUGCCGUAAACGUUGGGCACUAGGUGUGGGGGACAUUCCACGUUUUCCGCGCCGUAGCUAACGCAUUAAGUGCCCCGCCUGGGGAGUACGGCCGCAAGGCUAAAACUCAAAUGAAUUGACGGA